rnacentral:pre_miRNA from 1 species
UGUUGCUGAUAAUGAUGAUGAUGAUAAUGAUGAUGAUGAUGAUGAUGAUGAUGAUGAUCAUCAUCAUCAUCAUCAUCAUCAUCAUCAUCAUCAUCA